AGUGAACGCUGGCGGUAGGCCUAACACAUGCAAGUCGAACGGCAGCACAGUAAGAGCUUGCUCUUACGGGUGGCGAGUGGCGGACGGGUGAGGAAUACAUCGGAAUCUACUUUUUCGUGGGGGAUAACGUAGGGACAAUUACGCUAAUACCGCAUACGACCUACGGGUGAAAGCAGGGGAUCUUCGGACCUUGCGCGAUUGUAUGAGCCGAUGUCGGAUUAGCUAGUUGGCGGGGUAAAGGCCCACCAAGGCGACGAUCCGUAGCUGGUCUGAGAGGAUGAUCAGCCACACUGGAACUGAGACACGGUCCAGACUCCUACGGGAGGCAGCAGUGGGGAAUAUUGGACAAAGGGCGCAAGCCUGAUCCAGCCAUACCGCGUGGGUGAAGAAGGCCUUCGGGUUGUAAAGCCCUUUUGUUGGGAAAGAAAAGCAGCAGGUUAAUACCCCGCUGUUCUGACGGUACCCAAAGAAUAAGCACCGGCUAACUUCGUG
rnacentral:rRNA from 1 species